rnacentral:rRNA from 1 species
UUGGAAACGACUGCUAAUACCGCAUAAUGUCUACGGACCAAAGGGGGCUUCGGCUCUCGCCUUUAGAUUGGCCCAAGUGGGAUUAGCUAGUUGGUGAGGUAAUGGCUCACCAAGGCGACGAUCCCUAGCUGGUUUGAGAGGAUGAUCAGCCACACUGGGACUGAGACACGGCCCAGACUCCUACGGGAGGCAGCAGUGGGGAAUAUUGCACAAUGGGCGCAAGCCUGAUGCAGCCAUGCCGCGUGUGUGAAGAAGGCCUUCGGGUUGUAAAGCACUUUCAGUCAGGAGGAAAGGUUAGUAGUUAAUACCUGCUAGCUGUGACGUUACUGACAGAAGAAGCACCGGCUAACUCCGUGCCAGCAGCCGCGGUAAUACGGAGGGUGCGAGCGUUAAUCGGAAUUACUGGGCGUAAAGCGUACGCAGGCGGUUUUGUUAAGCGAGAUGUGAAAGCCCCGGGCUCAACCUGGGGAACUGCAUUUCGAACUGGCAAACUAGAGUGUGAUAGAG